GUGCUCACUUUGGCAGCACAAAUACUAAAAUUGGAAUGAUACAGAGAAGAUUAGCAUGGCUCCUGUGUAAGGAUGACACGUAAAUUCGUGAAGUGUUCCAAAUUUUU
ensembl:snRNA U6 U6 spliceosomal RNA